rnacentral:rRNA from 1 species
AAUCAACGCUGGCGGCGUGCCUAACACAUGCAAGUCGAACGGGAAAGUACUUUUCGGAGUACAAGUAAAGUGGCGAACGGGUGAGUAACGCGUGGGUGAUCUACCCUUGGGUGGGGGAUAACCCGGGGAAACUCGGGCUAAUACCGCAUAAGCCUGGAGUUGUAAGUGACUUCAGGGAAAGUUUUUGGAUGCCCAAGGAGGAGCCCGCGUCCGAUUAGCUAGUUGGUGAGGUAAGGGCUCACCAAGGCGACGAUCGGUAACCGGUCUGAGAGGACGGACGGUCACACUGGGACUGAGACACGGCCCAGACUCCUACGGGAGGCAGCAGUGGGGAAUUUUGGGCAAUGGGCGAAAGCCUGACCCAGCAACGCCGCGUGGAGGAUGAA